rnacentral:rRNA from 1 species
UACAGAGGUCUCAAGCGUUGUUCGGAUUCAUUGGGCGUAAAGGGUGCGUAGGUGGCGCGGUAAGUCGGGUGUGAAAUCUCGGAGCUUAACUCCGAAAUUGCAUUCGAUACUGCCGUGCUCGAGGACUGGAGAGGAGACUGGAAUUCAUGGUGUAGCAGUGAAAUGCGUAGAGAUCAUGAGGAAGACCAGUGGCGAAGGCGGGUCUCUGGGCCGUAACUGACGCUGAGGAGCGAAAGCAUGGGGAGCGAACAGG